GCUGUUCAUUAAAGCCGGACUUAAACUUAUGUUUUCUGCCUUUGACCAAAUUAAUUUCUUCCGUGUGCUCUGAAAAUGUCACCACUGGUUGCACAUCAUCGCUGGAUGCUGGUUUUAAAGAUAUCUAUCUUCUUUUUGGGGUUUGUCUUCCAGAACAUCUUUUGCGAAGCCACAGAUGGAAGUUUGUUCAAAGACAUCCUGUUUAUCAGCCCUUAUACUCCAGCAGAGAUGUACACCUCUAAUGCAAGUUUCCCAUCAAAGGUCAUCUUUCAAGAGGAGAAUAACACUAAACUGUGUUUUAACAUCCAGGCAAACAAAAUAGCAGAAUGUUGCAGCAAUUUCAACUGCAACACAACAGUAAUUCGGCACAACAGCACCCAUUACCAUCUGAAUCUAUCUGAAACAUCUCUACAAAAGCAUGACGUUGUAUUGCUGCUGAACACAUCUUACAAUUUCUCAUGUUUUCCAUCAUUGUUCUACAAUUC